rnacentral:sRNA from 1 species
UGACUGUUCCCUUGCAGCACUGAUGGGGGGCGAUGGGCGCUACGUGCUUAAUGGGGACUGGGCGGUCAGCCCACCAGGGACCUACGAGGUGGCCGGCACGCAUGUGGUCUACACCCGCGACACAGGGCCCCAGGAGACAUUGCAAGCAGCCGGGCCCACCUCCCAUGACCUGCUCCUACAGGUCCUCCUGCAGGAGCCCAACCCUGGCAUCGAGUUUGAGUUCUGGCUCCCUCGGGAGCGCUACAGCCCCUUCCAGGCUCGUGUGCAGGCCCUGGGCUGGCCCCUGAGGCAGCCGCAGCCCCGGGGGGUGGAGCCUCAGCCCCCCGCAGCCCCUGCUGUCACCCCUGCACGGACCCCAACCCUGGCCCCAGGUGAGGUGGGGACAGCCAGGGUGGGGGAUGAGUGGGGACUGAGGCCUGUGCCCCUCACAGCACCACCCAUCCCACAGACCCCUGCCCACCCUGCCCUGACACCCGCGGCCGCG